UACGGGGGGGAGCAAGCGUUGUUCGGAUUUACUGGGCGUAAAGGGCGGGUAGACGGCCACCGCAAGUCGACUGUGAAAUCCUCCGGGCUUGAACCCGGAAAGGUCAGCCGAUACUGCGGGGCUAGAGUGCAGGAAGGGGCAACUGGAAUUCUCGGUGUAGCGGUGAAAUGCGUAGAUAUCGAGAGGAACAGCCUGCGGCGAAGGCGGGUUGCGUGGGCUGACACUGACGCUGAGAACACGGAAAGCGUGGGUAGCAAACAGG
rnacentral:rRNA from 1 species